AGAUAGGAGUCAGGGCGCCUGGCCCGCAGGACACUAGAGAUCUGCGGAGGAGAAGGGAUGAGUCUGCCAGGCCCACCAGCCUGGCCCCCAGACCCUCCCCACCCCACACACGCAGACACGUCUUACAAGUCCUGUGAGAUAGGGGCUGCCAGCGUCUCCCAGGAUGUGGCCCACCGUGAUCUGAAGUGCCUCUGCCGUCCCCCGGCAUCUGGGCACCACCACAGACUGCAAAACAUAGGCACAGCAGGGGGGCACCCCAAGUGAGGGCACCCUUGCCUGCUGUUCCCCACCUGCCAAGGACCUGCCUGGAGGAGUGACAGGCCAUUCAGAAACCCCCCGAGAGGCAGGGGCUGCCCGAGGUAUGCAGAACGAGCUCCCCAUUGGAGGCGUAUGUCAACAAGGGGAUGGCUAGAAUUUGGCAAAGCAUUUAUGGACUGGGGAGCUUGCGGCGUGAGACCAGUGUUCUCAAAGCGUGCUCUACGGAAUGCUACGGCAGGAUCACUUGGGAAGUUCAUCAGAAAUGCAGGUCCCUGGACCCCAGCACGGACCCACUGAAUCAGACUCAGAGGACACAGGGCCUGGAAUCUGGGUUUGUCACAAGCUCCCUCAAAUCUGACUCUCAUGCACAAUGACGUCUCCAAGCCACCGGACCGGAGAGCCCCUGAGGUCCCUUCUCCAGAGAUAACCUGGAUUCUCCCCAUUGUGGAGAUGGCAUCAAAGAGAACAGUGUCCUGGACAGGCGCAGUGGCUCACACCUAUAAUCCCAGCAUUCUGGGAGGCCAAGGGGGGCGGAUCAUGAGGUCAAGAGAUCGAGACCAUCCUGGCCAACAUGGUGAACCCCGUCUCUACUAAAAAUACAAAAAUUAGCUGGGCGUGGUGGCGCAUGCCUGUAGUCCCAGCUAUUCAGGAGGCUGAGGCAGGAGAAUCGCUUGAACCCAGGAGGCAGAGGUCGC
rnacentral:lncRNA from 1 species